AUUGAACGCUGGCGGCAGGCCUAACACAUGCAAGUCGAACGGUAACAGGAAGCAGCUUGCUGCUUUGCUGACGAGUGGCGGACGGGUGAGUAAUGUCUGGGAAACUGCCCGAUGGAGGGGGUUAACUACUGGAAACGGUAGCUAAUACCGCAUAACGUCGCAAGACCAAAGAGGGGGACCUUAGGGCCUCUUGCCAUCGGAUGUGCCCAGAUGGGAUUAGCUAGUAGGUGGGGUAACGGCUCACCUAGGCGACGAUCCCUAGCUGGUCUGAGAGGAUGACCAGCCACACUGGAACUGAGACACGGUCCAGACUCCUACGGGAGGCAGCAGUGGGGAAUAUUGCACAAUGGGCGCAAGCCUGAUGCAGCCAUGCCGCGUGUAUGAAGAAGGCCUUCGGGUUGUAAAGUACUUUCAGCGGGGAGGAAGGGAGUAAAGUUAAUACCUUUGCUCAUUGACGUUACCCGCAGAAGAAGCACCGGCUAACUCCGUG
rnacentral:rRNA from 1 species